UGGGGAAUAUUGGACAAUGGGCGAAAGCCUGAUCCAGCAAUGCCGCGUGAGUGAUGAAGGCCUUCGGGUUGUAAAGCUCUUUUACUCGGGACGAUAAUGACGGUACCGAGAGAAUAAGCCCCGGCUAACUCCGUGCCAGCAGCCGCGGUAAUGA
rnacentral:rRNA from 1 species